AUUGAACGCUGGCGGCAGGCCUAACACAUGCAAGUCGAGCGGGGUUUUCGGACCUAGCGGCGGACGGGUGAGUAAUGCGUAGGAAGCUGCCCGAUAGAGGGGGAUACCAGUUGGAAACGACUGUUAAUACCGCAUAAUGUCUACGGACCAAAGUGUGGGACCUUCGGGCCAAAUGCUAUCGGAUGCGCCUACGUGGGAUUAGCUAGUUGGUGAGGUAAUGGCUCACCAAGGCGACGAUCUCUAGCUGGCUUGAGAGGAUGAUCAGCCACACUGGAACUGAGACACUGUCCAGACUCCUACGGGAGGCAGCAGCGGGGAAUAUUGGACAAUGGGCGCAAGCCUGCUCCAGCCAUGCCGCGUGUGUGAAGAAGGCCUUCGGGUUGUAAAGCACUUUCAGCAAGCAGUAAGGGUGGUGUGUUAAUAGCACAUCAUUUUGACGUUACUCGCAGAAGAAGCACCGGCUAACUCUGUGCCAGCCGCCGCCGUAAUAC
rnacentral:rRNA from 1 species